CGAACGGGUGAGUAACACGUGGGCAACCUGCCCAAAAGAGGGGGAUAACACUUGGAAACAGGUGCUAAUACCGCAUAACCAUAGUUACCGCAUGGUAACUAUGUAAAAGGUGGCUAUGCUACCGCUUUUGGAUGGGCCCGCGGCGCAUUAGCUAGUUGGUGGGGUAAAGGCUUACCAAAGCAAUGAUGCGUAGCCGAACUGAGAGGUUGAUCGGCCACAUUGGGACUGAGACACGGCCCAAACUCCUACGGGAGGCAGCAG
rnacentral:rRNA from 1 species